UGCAGUCGAGCGGAACGAUCCCAGCUUGCUGGGAGGCGUCGAGCGGCGGACGGGUGAGUAAUGCAUAGGAAUCUGCCCGAUAGUGGGGGAUAACCUGAGGAAACUCAGGCUAAUACCGCAUACGUCCUACGGGAGAAAGCAGGGGCUCUUCGGACCUUGCGCUAUCGGAUGAGCUUAUGUCGGAUUAGCUGGUUGGUGAGGUAACGGCUCACCAAGGCGACGAUCCGUAGCUGGUCUGAGAGGAUGAUCAGCCACAUCGGGACUGAGACACGGCCCGAACUCCUACGGGAGGCAGCAGUGGGGAAUAUUGGACAAUGGGGGCAACCCUGAUCCAGCCAUGCCGCGUGUGUGAAGAAGGCCCUCGGGUUGUAAAGCACUUUCAGUGAGGAAGAAUGCUUGUCGGUUAAUACCCGGCAAGGGAGACAUCACUCACAGAAGAAGCACCGGCUAACUCCGUGCCAGCAGCCGCGGUAAUACGGAGGGUGCGAGCGUUAAUCGGAAUUACUGGGCGUAAAGCGCGCGUAGGCGGCUUGAUAAGCCGGUUGUGAAAGCCCCGGGCUCAACCUGGGAACGGCAUCCGGAACUGUCAGGCUAGAGUGCAGGAGAGGAAGGUAGAAUUCCCGGUGUAGCGGUGAAAUGCGUAGAGAUCGGGAGGAAUACCAGUGGCGAAGGCGGCCUUUCUGGACUGACACUGACGCUGAGGUGCGAAAGCGUGGGUAGCAAACAGGAUUAGAUACCCUGGUAGUCCACGCCGUAAACGAUGUCGACUAGCCGUUGGGGUCCUCGAGACCUUUGUGGCGCAGUUAACGCACUAAGUCGACCGCCUGGGGAGUACGGCCGCAAGGUUAAAACUCAAAUGAAUUGACGGGGGCCCGCACAAGCGGUGGAGCAUGUGGUUUAAUUCGAUGCACGCGAGACCUUACCUACUCUU
rnacentral:rRNA from 1 species